rfam:Salmo salar isolate Sally breed double haploid chromosome ssa09, whole genome shotgun sequence.
CACUCACAGUACUGUAAGUCGCUUUGGAUAAAAGUGCCUGCUAAGUGGCAUUUA